UGGGGAAUUUUGGACAAUGGGCGAAAGCCUGAUCCAGCAAUGCCGCGUGUGUGAAGAAGGCCUUCGGGUUGUAAAGCACUUUUGUCCGGAAAGAAAUCCUUGGCUCUAAUACAGUCGGGGGAUGACGGUACCGGAAGAAUAAGCACCGGCUAACUACGUGCCAGCAGCCGCGGUAAUACGUAGGGUGCAAGCGUUAAUCGGAAUUACUGGGCGUAAAGCGUGCGCAGGCGGUUUGCUAAGACCGAUGUGAAAUCCCCGGGCUCAACCUGGGAACUGCAUUGGUGACUGGCAGGCUAGAGUAUGGCAGAGGGGGGUAGAAUUCCACGUGUAGCAGUGAAAUGCGUAGAGAUGUGGAGGAAUACCGAUGGCGAAGGCAGCCCCCUGGGCCAAUACUGACGCUCAUGCACGAAAGCGUGGGGAGCAAACAGGAUUAGAUACCCUGGUAGUCCACGCCCUAAACGAUGUCAACUAGUUGUUGGGGAUUCAUUUCCUUAGCAACGUAGCUAACGCGUGAAGUUGACCGCCUGGGGAGUACGGUCGCAAGAUUAAAACUCAAAUGAA
rnacentral:rRNA from 1 species